rnacentral:snRNA from 1 species
AGCACCGCACGUCGCGUGG